rnacentral:rRNA from 1 species
UGGGGAAUAUUGCACAAUGGGCGAAAGCCUGAUGCAGCAACGCCGCGUGAGUGAUGAAGGCCUUCGGGUUGUAAAGCUCUGUCUUUUGGGACGAUAAUGACGGUACCAAAGGAGGAAGCCACGGCUAACUACGUGCCAGCAGCCGCGGUAAUACGUAGGUGGCAAGCGUUGUCCGGAUUUACUGGGCGUAAAGGAUGCGUAGGCGGAUUUUUAAGUGAGAUGUGAAAUACCCGGGCUUAACUUGGGUGCUGCAUUUCAAACUGGGAAUCUAGAGUGCGGGAGAGGAGAAUGGAAUUCCUAGUGUAGCGGUGAAAUGCGUAGAGAUUAGGAAGAACACCAGUGGCGAAGGCGAUUCUCUGGACCGUAACUGACGCUGAGGCAUGAAAGCGUGGGUAGCAAACAGGAUUAGAUACCCUGGUAGUCCACGCCGUAAACGAUGAGUACUAGGUGUAGGAGGUAUCGACCCCUUCUGUGCCGCAGUUAACACAAUCAAGUACUCCGCCUGGGAAGUACGAUCGCAAGAUUAAAACUUAAAUGAAUUGACGGGGGUCAUAGC